AAGCGAAGGACCCAGCAGGGAAGCGAGUAUACUCAUGAAAUGAGGCUUCUCUAACAAUUUAAUUAACCUUCGUAGAUUUAGUCUCGAGGAACUCUUUGAGGAUCUGUUUCUUUUUUCGCAGAUUGUCUUGUGUUCUUUGUGUAUAGUC
rnacentral:snoRNA from 1 species